GUAGCUAAUAAGUAGAAGGACUGGUUUUGAGCCCUGCUGGUCUAUUCUGGUGAGGCCAUAGGCAUCUGAGCUGGGACGGAGGCCUGUGAGUUACCAUGGAAAGUGGAUGUGAAGAGGAAUAAUGUGAUCAGGAUGCAAAGCUGGGUGGUUGGUGCUAACUCAGGGUGUUCCUAUCUGCAGGUGUCAACUCAUUAGUGGGAGGGGAAAUCAAUUUAGGAAGUUA